ACUGCUCAGUAACACGUGGACAACCUGCCCAAAGGUCCGGGAUAACCCCGGGAAACUGGGGAUAAUACCGGAUAAAUCACAAAUACUGGAAGGUUUUGUGGUUGAAACUUCCGGGGCCUUUGGAUGGGUCUGCGGCUGAUUAGGUUGUUGCCGGUGUAACGUACCGUCAAGCCUGUAAUCAGUACGGGUUGUGGGAGCAAGAGCCCGGAGAUGGAUUCUGAGACACGAAUCCAGGCCCUACGGGGCGCAGCAGGCGCGAAAACUCUACAAUGCAGGCAACUGCGAUAGGGGAACAUCGAGUGAUACUCAUCUUGGGUGUCUGUCCUCCCGUCUAAAAAACGGGAGUUAGCAAGGGCCGGGCAAGACCGGUGCCAGCCGCCGCGGUAAUACCGGCGGCUCGAGUGGUGGCCGAUAUUAUUGAGUCUAAAGGGUCCGUAGCCGGCUUUGCAAGUCUUUUGGGAAAUCCAGCGGCUUAACCGUUGGUCGUCCGGGAGAUACUACAUUGCUUGGGACUGGGAGAGGUAGGAGGUACUCAGGGGGUAGGAGUGAAAUCCUGUAAUCCUUUGGGGACCACCGGUGGCGAAGGCGUCCUACCAGAACAGGGCCGACGGUGAGGGACGAAAGCUGGGGGCACGAACCGGAUUAGAUACCCGGGUAGUCCCAGCCGUAAACGAUGCUCGCUAGGUGUCAGGCAUGGCGCGACCGUGUCUGGUGCCGCAGGGAAGCCGUGAAGCGAGCCACCUGGGAAGUACGGCCGCAAGGCUGAAACUUAAAGGAAUUGGCGGGGGAGCAC
rnacentral:rRNA from 1 species